rnacentral:rRNA from 1 species
CUACCCUAAAGACGAGGAUAACCAUUGGAAACAGUGGCUAAGACUGGAUAGGAAGAUAAAAGGCAUCUUUUAUCUUUUAAAAGACCUAGUAAUAGGUAUGCUUUAGGAGGGGCUUGCGCCAUAUUAGUUAGUUGGUAGGGUAAUGGCCUACCAAGACGAUGAUGUGUAGCUGGACUGAGAGGUUGAACAGCCACAUUGGGACUGAGACACGGCCCAAACUCCUACGGGAGGCAGCAGUAGGGAAUUUUCGGCAAUGGAGGAAACUCUGACCGAGCAACGCCGCGUGAAUGACGAAGUACUUCGGUAUGUAAAGUUCUUUUAUCAAGGAAGAAAAGCAAAUGGCGAACCAUUUGUUUGCCGGUACUUGAUGAAUAAGCCCCGGCUAAUUAUGUGCCAGCAGCCGCGGUAAGACAUAAGGGGCAAGUGUUAUCCGGAAUUAUUGGGCGUAAAGGGUGCGUAGGCGGUCUAGUAAGUCAGUGGUGUAAUGGCAACGCUUAACGUUGUCCGGCUAUUGAAACUGCUAAACUUGAGUUAGAUAGAGGCGAGUGGAAUUCCAUGUGUAGCGGUAAAAUGCGUAAAUAUAUGGAGGAACACCAGAGGCGUAGGCGGCUCGCUGGGUCUUAACUGACGCUGAGGCACGAAAGCGUGGGGAGCAAACAGGAUUAGAUACCCUGGUAGUCCACGCCGUAAACGAUGAGUACUAAGUGUCGGGUUAAACCGGUACUGAAGUUAACACAUUAAGUACUCCGCCUGAGUAGUACGUACGCAAGUAUGAAACUUAAAGGAAUUGACGGGACUCCGCACAAGCGGUGGAUCAUGUUGUUUAAUUCGAAGAUACCCGAAAAACCUUACCAGGUCUUGACAUGUUUUUGCAAAAUGAUAGUAAUAUCGUGGAGGUUACCAGAAACACAGGUGGUGCAUGGUUGUCGUCAGCUCGUGUCGUGAGAUGUUAGGUUAAGUCCUAAAACGAGCGAAACCCUUAUCGUUAGUUGCCAGCACGUUAUGGUGGGGACUUUAACGAGACUGCCAAUGAUAAAUUGGAGGAAGGUGAGGAUCACGUCAAAUCAGCAUGCCCCUUAUGACCUGGGCUACAAACGUGAUACAAUGGCUGUUACAAAGGGUAGCUGAAACGCAAGUUCUUGGCCAAUCCCCAAAAACAGUCCCAGUCCGGAUUGAAGUCUGCAACUCGACUUCAUGAAGUUGGAAUCGCUAGUAAUCGCGAAUCAGCAUGUCGCGGUGAAUACGUUCUCGGGGUUUGUACACACCGCCCGUCAAACCACGAAAGUUGGCAAUACCCCAAAACGGUAGCCUAACUCGUUU